UACAGAGGUCUCAAGCGUUGUUCGGAUUCAUUGGGCGUAAAGGGUGCGUAGGCGGCGCGGUAAGUCGGGUGUGAAAUCUCGGAGCUUAACUCCGAAACUGCAUUCGAUACUGCCGUGCUUGAGGACUGGAGAGGAGACUGGAAUUUACGGUGUAGCGGUGAAAUGCGUAGAUAUCGUAAGGAAGACCAGUGGCGAUGGCGGGUCUCUGGACAGUUCCUGACACUGAGACACGAAGGCCAGGGGAGCAAACGGG
rnacentral:rRNA from 1 species